GAAAGCGACGUUCAACCGCAAAAGAAGCAGAGGGGGCUUAGUGGUGGGGUGACUGCGUACCUUUUGUAUAAUGGGUCAGCGACUUAUAUUCUGUAGCAAGGUUAACCGAAUAGGGGAGCCGGAGGGAAACCGAGUCUUAACCGGGCGUUAAGUUGCAGGGUAUAGACCCGAAACCCGGUGAUCUAGCCAUGGGCAGGUUGAAGGUUGGGUAACACUAACUGGAGGACCGAACCGACUAAUGUUGAAAAAUUAGCGGAUGACCUGUGGCUGGGGGUGAAAGGCCAAUCAAACCGGGAGAUAGCUGGUUCUCCCCGAAAGCUAUUUAGGUAGCGCCUCGUGAAUUCAUCUCCGGGGGUAGAGCACUGUUUCGGCUAGGGGGCCAUCCCGGCUUACCAACCCGAUGCAAACUGCGAAUACCGGAGAAUGUUAUCACGGGAGACACACGGCGGGUGCUAACGUCCGUCGUGAAGAGGGAAACAACCCAGACCGCCAGCUAAGGUCCCAAAGUCAUGGUUAAGUGGGAAACGAUGUGGGAAGGCCCAGACAGCCAGGAUGUUGGCUUAGAAGCAGCCAUCAUUUAAAGAAAGCGUAAUAGCUCACUGGUCGAGUCGGCCUGCGCGGAAGAUGUAACGGGGCUAAACCAUGCACCGAAGCUGCGGCAGCGAACGUAUCACUUAAAGCGAUUCAGCGGGUUACGAUUGACGGAGCGAAGCGACGUCAAAGCGUAUACAAAGUCGAGUCGGUUUAAGGAUACGUUCGUUGGGUAGGGGAGCGUUCUGUAAGCCUGUGAAGGUG
rnacentral:rRNA from 1 species